GUCCAGACUCCUACGGGAGGCAGCAGUGGGGAAUAUUGCACAAUGGGGGAAACCCUGAUGCAGCGACGCCGCGUGAGUGAAGAAGUAUUUCGGUAUGUAAAGCUCUAUCAGCAGGGAAGAAAAUGACGGUACCUGAUUAAGAAGCCCCGGCUAACUACGUGCCAGCAGCCGCGGUAAUACGUAGGGGGCGAGCGUUAUCCGGAUUCACUGGGUGUAAAGGGAGCGUAGACGGCCAUGCAAGCCAGGGGUGAAAGCCCGGGGCCCAACCCCGGGACUGCUCUUGGAACUGCAUGGCUGGAGUGCGGGAGGGGCAGGCGGAAUUCCUGGUGUAGCGGUGAAAUGCGUAGAUAUCAGGAGGAACACCAGUGGCGAAGGCGGCUUACUGGACUGUAACUGACGUUGAGGCUCGAAAGCGUGGGGAGCAAACAGGAUUAGAUACCCGAGUA
rnacentral:rRNA from 1 species